GAACUAUUACUAAUUACUUUUUAUACGCAAAGAGGUGGUGUUUCAGAUAGGAAAAAGAAAAAUUUAAUAGUUAAAGUAUAUUUUAAUAAAUAAUUAAAGAUAGUUAAAAUAAGAAAAACUCUUCACACCUAAUAACUUUUUACUCUUUCGCUCAACAACAAAGAAACAAACAAACAAAAACAUGUGUAACAAAAACCCCUUGUUAAACCCACAGAAAAUAGAGAGUGCAGUGUGUGUGUGAAAGGUGAGUUGGAGUUAGAAAAUCCUCAUUAAUCCAAAGUUUCUCACUCACAACAAUUAGGUUUUAUGUCAUCAGGGCCAUGGCAUUGCUCCUGCAUUUUCUCCCAAUCUCUUUUUUUCUUCCUUUAAGGCAGAAUAGAGAAGUAGGAUUAAAUCUUGCUUCAGAAGUUUUGAGGUGUUCAGCUGCAAAACCUGGUUGAAUUUGCUGGUCCUUUUGCUUUCCUGGAACAUGUGAACCUUGAACAUGUAAGUACAUUGUACUUAAGUGGGGAAUGAAGCCAUCGGUCCGCAAAGCAUAUCAAUCUUUGUAAUAUGUUGACAAAACCUGUUGUGGGGAUACAUUUAGAAGAAGAUUUAUUCCAUUUUAUUUUUUUUGUGAAUUUUGAUCUAUCUUUUCAAAUUCGAUUGAGAAUCAGUGCUCAAUUAGCUUUCCGGUAUGUGAUCAAUGCAAAAGCAUAGUUUGGUAUUUUA